rnacentral:rRNA from 1 species
GAUGAACGCUAGCGGCAGGCCUAACACAUGCAAGUCGAGGGGUAACUAGAGUGAUAGCAAUAUUACUUUGGCUAGACCGGUGCACGGGUGCGUAACACGUAUGCAACCUACCUUAUACUGGGGAAUAACUUCGAGAAAUCGGCGCUAAUACCCCAUAACAUUGCGAAAAGGCAUCUCUUUGCAAUUAAAGCUCCGGCGGUAUAAGAUGGGCAUGCGUCCAAUUAGCUAGUUGGUGAGGUAACGGCUCACCAAGGCUACGAUUGGUAGGGGUUCUGAGAUGAUGAUCCCCCACACUGGUACUAAGACCCGGACCAGACUCCUACGGGAGGCAGCAGUGAGAAAUAUUGCGCAAUGGACGAAAGUCUGACGCAGCCAUGCCGCGUGCAGGAUGAUGGCCCUAUGGGUUGUAAACUGCUUUUGUACGCGAAUAAACCCUUCUACGUGUAGGAGGCUGAAGGUACCGUAAGAAUAAGCACCGGCUAACUCCGUGCCAGCAGCCGCGGUAACAC